rnacentral:rRNA from 1 species
UAGCUUGCUAUUUUUAUGAAGAGCGGCGAACGGGUGAGUAACGCGUGGGAAAUCUGCCGAGUAGCGGGGGACAACGUUUGGAAACGAACGCUAAUACCGCAUAACAAUGAGAAUCGCAUGAUUCUUAUUUAAAAGAAGCAAUUGCUUCACUACUUGAUGAUCCCGCGUUGUAUUAGCUAGUUGGUAGUGUAAAGGACUACCAAGGCGAUGAUACAUAGCCGACCUGAGAGGGUGAUCGGCCACACUGGGACUGAGACACGGCCCAGACUCCUACGGGAGGCAGCAGUAGGGAAUCUUCGGCAAUGGGGGCAACCCUGACCGAGCAACGCCGCGUGAGUGAAGAAGGUUUUCGGAUCGUAAAACUCUGUUGUUAGAGAAGAACGUUAAGUAGAGUGGAAAAUUACUUAAGUGACGGUAUCUAACCAGAAAGGGACGGCUAACUACGUGCCAGCAGCCGCGGUAAUACGUAGGUCCCAAGCGUUGUCCGGAUUUAUUGGGCGUAAAGCGAGCGCAGGUGGUUUCUUAAGUCUGAUGUAAAAGGCAGUGGCUCAACCAUUGUGUGCAUUGGAAACUGGGAGACUUGAGUGCAGGAGAGGAGAGUGGA